rnacentral:ribozyme from 13 species
AACAACAAGAAGAAAAAGAAAAAGAAGAAGAAGAGAAAAAAAAGAAGAGAGAAUGAGAGAGCGACUUCUCUUUCUCCUUCCAUUUGCUCUCCUCUUCCCUCUUCC